rnacentral:tRNA from 1 species
GCCCGGGUGGUGAAACUGGUAGACGCAAUGGACUCAAAAUCCAUCGAUAGAGAUAUCGUGUCGGUUCGAGCCCGACCCCGGGCACCA